GAGGGUAUAGCUCAAUGGUAGAGCACAUGCUUAGCAUGCACAAGGUCCUGGGUUCAAUCCCCUGUGCCUCCA
rnacentral:tRNA from 1 species